GCAGGAACUGAAACUGAAAUACUUAAGAACUGUAGUUAAUCAUCUUAAGGUAAACCUAACUAAGAGAACUAGUCAGAUUAACUUAAACAAGAGCAACAUCGGUCAGAACCGUCCCCUGACCGGCCGGUGAUGGAGCAGCUUUAUAUGCAGUUUCCUCCCACAUCAGAUCUGGUCCUGAUUUCCACCCAGUGUAUACAUGUGUGUGGGGGGGGAUCGAGGGCGGCGCGGGUGGUGCUGGGGGGGUCGCCCAGCAUAAAGGCCUCUUUAUUCACGCCGGACAGGGAAAGGAAAUCGGCUUCAGAAGAAAAAGCACGCCAGCGUGCCACAGGCCCGCACAUCUGGAGUUAUUACAAGCCCGCCGUCUUGCCAAGAAACUCCGACAUUCCUGCAGCGCUACAAAACUGCGCAGCUCCCCCCCACACACACACACACACUCGCGUUUUAGCCCCCACUACAUGCACCCCAACCCCCUCCCCGAAAUGACACAACACAUGCAGCAAAUUAAUGCACUUCACUUCCUGUUGACCUUUGACCCUCAACUUCCUGCCGCCUCCCCAAAAAGCAGGAAAAAAAUAACAGAAAGCCAGACGGAGGCGGGAAGGAGAAGAAAGCCCCGCCUCUUUCUCCUCUCUUGCUGCUUCACUCUCUCACUAGUAAAGUUAGUUAACAGUCCUCUGCCACGUCAAGCCUGCGAGUCACUGCAGGGACGAGACGCUCGCCCACAGACGGAUGUUAGUGGAUGUGCCUUUAUGAUUUAUUCAGGAACACGGAGAGAUCUGUGAAUGAUGGGAAAAGGCCAUUUAUUCCCCUGCACUCACUGAGGUCCUGCAGACUGAGAAAGACUGAGAUCAACACUCGACGAACACCUGGAGGAUGAGACUCCAUCACGGCCUCAUCAGACCUGCACUAACUCUCCUGAUCGACCGCGUGACGAGAUGCUGCAUUACUCCCGGAAGCUCGUCCCGCCUGCCCAGUGUUCAGACUACCUGUUCAGGAAGUAGCGUUUGUACAGUAGUCUGCACAUUGGUUAGGCUGGACGGGGAUGCUCGAGAUGGACCGUCGCCAUGACGACUGCGGAACACAUCGCCAUGGCGACGAGAGGAGAUCCGCAUGACGACAGCAGGUCACACUACUGAUGUGACUUCAUGAAAUCAUCAUCUAUUCGGCGAUGCCAAAUAAAGUAUGAAAUACAAAAUAAAGUGUAAAAUGAUAUUAA